AUUGAACGCUGGCGGCAGGCCUAACACAUGCAAGUCGAACGAGUGGCGGACGGGUGAGUAAUGUCUGGGAAACUGCCCGAUGGAGAGGGAUAACUACUGGACACGGUAGCUAAUACCGCAUCCCAUCGGAUGUGCCCAGAUGGGAUUAGCUUGUAGGUGAGGUAACGGCCCACCUAGGCGACGAUCCCUAGCUGGUCUGAGAGGAUGACCAGUCACACGGGAACGGAGACACGGUCCAGACUCCUACGGGAGGCAGCAGUGGGGAAUAUUGCACAAUGGGCGCAAGCCUGAUGCAGCCAUGCCGCGUGUAGGAAGAAGGCCUUCGGGUUGUAAAGUACUUUCAGCGGGGAGGCGUUACCCGCAGAGGAAGCACCGGCUAACUCCGUGCCAGCAGCCGCGGUAAUAC
rnacentral:rRNA from 1 species